UCGAGUGUUAGGGUCCUUCGGGGCCCGACCUCCAACCCUGUGUCUACCGUACCACGUUGCUUCGGCGGGCCCGUCCCCUGGUCGCCCAGGAGGACCGCCGGGGGGUCGUCCGACCCUCGGGCCCGCGUCCGCCGAUGGCCAACUUAUAAAACUCUGGUUAUAACCGUGUCGUCUGAGUAUACACAAAAAAUAAACAAA
rnacentral:misc_RNA from 1 species